rnacentral:rRNA from 1 species
CCUACGUGGUGCUGCAGUGAGGAAUAUUGGUCAAUGGGCGGGAGCCUGAACCAGCCAAGCCGCGUGAGGGAAGAAGGUACAGCGUAUCGUAAACCUCUUUUGUCAGGGAACAAAGGCGGGGACUAGUCCCCUGAUGAGGUUACCUUACGAACAAGCAUCGGCUAACUCCGUUCCAGCCGCCGCGGUAAUACGGAGGAUGCGAGCGUUAUCCUGAUUUAUUGGGUUUAAAGGGUGCGCAGGCGGCCCGUUCAGUCAGCGGUAAAAGCCCGGGGCUCAACCCCGGCGAGCCGUUGAAACUGGCGGGCUGGAGUUGGAGAGAAGUAGGCGGAAUGCGCGGUGUAGCGGUGAAAUGCUUAGAUAUCGCGCAGAACCCCGAUGGCGAAGGCAGCGUACCGGCUCCACACUGACGCUGAGGCACGAAAGCGUGGGUAUCGAACAGGAUUAGAUACCCUGGUAGUC